rnacentral:rRNA from 1 species
GACGAACGCUGGCGGCGUGCUUAACACAUGCAAGUCGAACGGAUCAAGGGAGCUUGCUUCCUUGGUUAGUGGCGAACGGGUGAGUAACACGUGAGCAAUCUGCCCUUGACUCUGGGAUAACUGCGGGAAACUGUAGCUAAUACCGGAUACGACGCGCGAAGGCAUCUUCUGCGUGUGGAAAGAAUUUCGGUCAGGGAUGAGCUCGCGGCCUAUCAGCUUGUUGGNGAGGUAAUGGCUCACCAAGGCGACGACGGGUAGCCGGCCUGAGAGGGUGACCGGCCACACUGGGACUGAGACACGGCCCAGACUCCUACGGGAGGCAGCAGUGGGGAAUAUUGCACAAUGGGCGAAAGCCUGAUGCAGCAACGCCGCGUGAGGGACGACGGCCUCGGUU